UACGACCAUAUCACGCUGAAAAAUCGGUUCCCGUACGAUCACUGAAGUUAAGCAACAUCGAGCAUGGUCAAUACCUAGAUGGGCGGCCGCUUGGGAU